UAGCGGCGGACGGGUGAGUAACACGUAAAGCAACCUGCCCUCAAGUUUGGGACAACUACCGGAAACGGUAGCUAAUACCGAAUAGUUGUUUUCUUCGCCUGAARGAAACUGGAAAGACGGAGCAAUCUGUCWCUUGGGGAUGGGCCUGCGGCGCAUUAGCUAGUUGGUGGGGUAACGGCUCACCAAGGCGACGAUGCGUAGCCGACCUGAGAGGGUGAUCGGCCACACUGGGACUGAGACACGGCCCAGACUCCUACGGGAGGCAGCAGUAGGGAAUCUUCCGCAAUGGGCGAAAGCCUGACGGAGCAAUGCCGCGUGAGUGAUGAAGGUUUUCGGAUCGUAAAGCUCUGUUGCCAGGGAAGAACGCUUGGGAGAGUAACUGCUCUCAAGGUGACGGUACCUGAGAAGAAAGCCCCGGCUAACUACGUGCCAGCAGCCGCGGUAAUACGUAGGGGGCAAGCGUUGUCCGGAAUUAUUGGGCGUAAAGCGCGCGCAGGCGGUCAUUUAAGUCUGGUGUUUAAUCCCGGGGCUCAACCCCGGAUCGCACUGGAAACUGGGUGACUUGAGUGCAGAAGAGGAGAGUGGAWUUCCACGUGUAGCGGUGAAAUGCGUAGAUAUGUGGAGGAACACCAGUGGCGAAGGCGACUCUCUKGGCUGUAACUGACKCUGAUGCGCGAWAAGCGUGGGGAGCAWCAGGAUWGAUUACUCUKGGUAGUCCACGGCCGUAAACGAUGAKUGCUAKGUGKUUASGGGUUUUCGAAUACACUU
rnacentral:rRNA from 1 species